GCAUGGCUGUCGUCAGCUCGUGUUGUGAAAUGUUGGGUUAAGUCCCGCAACGAGCGCAACCCCUAUUGUUAGUUGCCAUCAUUCAGUUGGGCACUCUAGCGAGACUGCCGGUAAUAAACCGGAGGAAGGUGGGGAUGACGUCAAGUCCUCAUGGCCCUUACGGGAUGGGCUACACACGUGCUACAAUGGCGGUGACAAUGGGCAGCGAAGGGGCGACCUGGAGCGAAUCCCCAAAAGCCGUCUCAGUUCGGAUUGCACUCUGCAACUCGGGUGCAUGAAGGUGGAAUCGCUAGUAAUCGCUG
rnacentral:rRNA from 1 species